rnacentral:lncRNA from 1 species
AGGAGUUACAUUCAUAAGAGGCACCAAGAGGUAAACAGUAUGUGUCUCAUCCCUUGACAGAAAUCUUCAGAUUUGCUUAACUUCAUGCAUCUGAGAAUUUCCAGUUUAUCUACAAAAUAUUUGAGAAUGACUCCAGGCUGUCCCUGUGCACUGUCAAUGCAGAUUUUGAGACGUUCGUACACACACAGUGCCCAUAUGGGCUGUGCAUGUGCUGAAAUCCUUGAUUUACCGCAUGAAGUGAUUGUCCGUGGUGUGAGGAGAAGAGUCGCGGUACUUGCCCAAUGGAUGCUGUUAAAUACAAGGGCAAACUGGUCUGCCUGGGAAAUCCUGAGCAAAAUAUAGAGCUUUGGGGACUUCUGAUUUGCACGGAGUUAGCAAGUGAAGUAGCCCAUUUCUCACAACACAACUUUUUAUUAUGAUUAAGCACAAAGUAUUAACACAAUUUAUGUAUUUAUUGUGAACAUAAGCACGUAUUAUGUCUUUGUUUCUGGGUUACUGAUGAAAAUUACUGUUCCUGAAUAGUGUGGUUGAAAGAUGAAUGGUGUUCACAGCGUGUCUGUUGAGUAUUUAAGAUAAUCAUGGUAAUGGUUUUAGUCUAACACUAGCACAAAUUAAAGCAUUACCAUGAUAAAUGAAUAGUUGCUGAAUAAAGUGUGACUUCCUCCCAGUAAGUCUGCUGUUUGUUCAUAGUAGAAAAGCUCUAAGUAAAGAAAAUAUAUUAAGUCUGAGAGAAGACGGAUGAAAGCAUUAUCUUAGAUCUCAAACCAGGACUUUCAUACCUAGGAUGGCCUAAAAACUGAACAAAACAAAGCAAAUGAAAACCUAAAGCAACAAAAGAAAGCUAUUUGAUACCAAUCAUCCUGAACAGCAACAUCUGAAAUUAUUACCGUAUGUGUCAUUUUACUCGGUGUUGGUUUGUUAUCUCUGUGAGCACUAGCAUGUCUAAAGACUUUAUCUUCUGUGAAAAUUUGUGGCCUGCACUACACAGUGUGUUAGUUACCAAGACAGCAAGUCUCAGACUUAUACAUUUGUCGUCUUAUUUGUGGCUGUGAUUUCCAAUGUGUUGUGUCCAACUACUGCAUGGUCAUUAAAAACAAA